rnacentral:lncRNA from 12 species
GGUGGGUCUGCCCAGUUUUUUGCUGUGUGUCAUGACGUCUGGACUAUGAUGCUUUUUCAGUCUGCACACGCCCUGUAGCAUUGGAGAGGCUGCUGAGAGCCCAUUUUUGUUGUGAGGACACCAACCCUUUUAGGAAAUCAUCGUCACUUUGGUUACUGUCUUGGCCUUGGCUGUCGUCUCUUGCAGAUUUUUGGUUCUGCUGAACCCCUAGUCUAAAAAUGUCAGGAAUGUGAGUGUAUUUCUGUGAAGCCAAUCGUUUCCUCGUGCCAGAGGCAGUGUAAGUUUAUAAUUCAAGAAAGAGUAGAAGAUGGCCAGUACUAGUGGUGGAUUCAACUCCACACUGGCCUUACUCUGUAGCUGCUAUCGCAUUCCUUCAUUAGGUAAUCCCGAGCAGGAGAUGGCAUGGAUGCGUCACAUGACUGUGAUUCAGCGUAUUCAUGGAGCGUGCACCACUGCACUAUUGAAAGUUUCUGGCCAGAACGGGAAUGAAUAUGGAAUGGAAAGAAGAGUUUAUAAGUCACUUGUGUGUGUGCGUGUGCGCAGCACUUCCUGACCCGGCUCCCAGCCGCAGCUGGCGUUCCCAGGCCCGGGGAGGAACUCGGCCUCCACAGCAGUCGGAAUCCUCGAGGCUCCCUAACACCACUGACUCUUCACAUCUGGAAUGUUUUUGCAAAGGGAGUGCCUGUUGCAAAAUUGGCCAGGGAGGUUCACCAAGCUUUAUAGUCUAUUUAAAAAGCGGUUUUUUUUGUCUUAAAGCGAGGCCUGGUAUAUAUGUAUUUAUGUGUAAGAAUGCCUAAUCUUUAAUUAAUAAUUGAUGAAGCCUCAUAUGAAAGGUAAUGGGGUUUUGUUUUUAAAUUUAGCUUCAAAUGCUAAAUUAGCAGUGGAGUAAACAUGCAUCAGGAUAGUCUCAUUAUUUUAGAUUCUACUACUCUGAGGUUUGUGUUAAUUGACUGGACCAAUGUGUACCUCCACUCAAUCAGUCAUCUUCUUUAUAGCAGAAAUUAAUAGCAUUCCCAAACAUUUGAGGUUUUAAAAGAACAGCUCUUAAGCUCUGUAAGUACUUUAUAAGCAACUACUGAAAUGCUCAUUAUAAAUUACUCUUAUCUGUUCAUCACAUCUUUUCUUGAGAGGAAUUAGAGUCUCAAGAAGCUGACAAAACCAACUUUCAACUCCGAGUUCUUAGCAUUCUUUGAAAAAAUGAUUUUAUCAGGUUUUUAUCUUCAGCCCAGUCUUCUGGUUUUUGCCUUUUUUUUUUUUUAAUCUCCUUCCUCACUAGCCAUGUUCUGCUUGGCUGCUCUUUUAAUUUAUUACCCAUGCAGAGUAUAUGACAGCUAGUUUACACUGAUUUGCAGAUGUCAGAUUUUCCUCAGGCAGUUUAGGUUCUUUUGGAGUGUCACAGAGAUCUGCUUUCUAUUUCCUGGGUUAAAAGUAAAAUCAUCAAGAAGGAAAUAGCCCCUUUUAUGACUUUCCUUCAUUACUAGGAAACCUCUCUGGGACCCCUCCUGGUCACACCAGGGGCUAUGCAAGGAAGAACUUCAUCAUCCUGAACCCCAUCCCCUCUCUCUCCGCCCACAAGCUCCCUGAACCUCUGCUUCCUCCAGUGUCUAUACCAUUCCUCCUCAGAAGGGCUCCACAGUUUUAAAUUUUGCUCUUUGAACUUUUUCUUUCCCAAAGUGAACAAACUGUUUUGAGACUAUUCCUCAUCUUGUAUUCAAGAACAAGGAGCUAUGACUUCAGUCAAACUCUUAGAUACAAACUUUUCUCAAUGGAGAAGCAAUUUGAACCUGGGAUUAAAGU